rnacentral:piRNA from 1 species
UGGGAAUACCAUCAAGUCAGGUUGCUUC